rnacentral:siRNA from 1 species
AACUGAUGCCUCUUCUCUAGCUGC